UACGUAGGGACCGAGCGUUGUCCGGAAUCAUUGGGCGUAAAGAGCGUGUAGGCGGCUAUUUAAGUCCUGCGUGAAAUCCUGCGGCUCAACCGCAGACGGUCGUGGGAAACUGGAUGGCUAGAGUGCGGGAGAGGCGAGUGGAAUUCCCGGUGUAGCGGUGAAAUGCGCAGAUAUCGGGAGGAACACCAAUUGCGAAGGCAGCUCGCUGGGACGUUACUGACGCUGAGACGCGAAAGCGUGGGGAGCAAACAGG
rnacentral:rRNA from 1 species